CAGAGAGAUUAAGUAACUUGCCCAAGGUCACACAGCUAACCAGAAUAGAGUCACUUAAAAUACUGAAUCUUACCUUCUUUGUGUAACAUAUGCUCAAUCCUUCCUUGUUAGUUUUUUCAUUGUCCAAGGAGAGACCAUUGUCUUCUUAAGAGUCCUUUUAAUGGGUAUGUAAUAUUCCAACUGUUCAAAAGCCAGGACUGGCCCCGCCUGAACUGAGAGUCUGGGCAGAUGAGCCUCACUGGACAUGAGGGUCCAGUCCAGCCCAGGCUGCUGGAGGCCAGGAAUUGGGUAAUGUUCAUUUGCCCACACCACCUGCCCCACCUCCCACCCUGCAGGGGGUGCACUCCAGGAACCUAGAGAACAGUCAAUGACCUACUCCCAGGAAGUCAGGGAGACUGAGUGAGAAUCUUGGCUCUACCACUUUCUAACUGGGUGGCCUCAGUCUCCUUAUCCUUUAUGUGAGGGCAGUGCCGAUCCCACAGGUUGGCAGCAAGGUUUACACGAGAGAACAGAAGAAUGUUAUCUGGAACCUCGUCUAUGCUCAGUCAAUCCCAGGACUCCCCUCCUCUCCCUUUGCCUCUUCUCCCCCGUCUCUCUUGCCUCCUUCCUCCUGAUUUAUCCACCAGGAAAGCUUUAUCCCCUGUGCUUCUUUUCUGAUACACUGAUCAGGAUUUUUCCUAAGAGCAAGUGUUUAAAAACUAAGAGGAGGAGAAGCUGAGGAUGGGGACAGGACCCUGCAAAGGGAGCAAAAGGGCUGAUGAUGGGGUAAGAGAGCAGAGGUUCGGAAGUCAGCAUUUCCCUCCACAAACCCACUAUGAACCAGACCUGUUGGUGGUGGUAGUUUCCCUCUUUUUUCUCUCUCUCCUUUAAAAAUAUGUAACUAGGAGUUCCUAUCAUGGCACAGUGGUUAACGAAUCCGACUAGGAACCAUGAGGUUGUGGGUUCAAUCCCUGGCCUUGCUCAGUGGGUUAAGGAUCCGGCGUUGCUGUGAGCUGUGGUGUAGGUCACAGACGUGGCUCAGAUCCCACGUUGCUGUGGCUGUGUGGCGUAGGCUGGUGGCAAUAGUUCCCCUUAGACCCCUAGCCUGGGAACUUCCAUGUGUCGUGGGUGCAGCUCUAAGAAAAAAAAAAGACAAAAAGGAUAAAAAUAAAAAUUUAAAGAAUUACAUAAUAACCAUAAUAAAAUAUAGAAUAUAGGAUUCAAUAGAAAUACAAUAGUGAAGUGUAUGCAUAUUUCAUAUGUAUGUUUAUAACUAUGUAAAACUAAAAGGAGAGGUCGCCAGCUAUCCUUCAGCUAAUCCAAAUGCCUCUGAACAGAAAGGAUUGUCCCCACAGAAAGUUGUUUUCAGGCUGUUUCACAUCAUAAUGGAGAGUCACUGACACCUUGCCCAUGACCUCCCUGUCCUCACAAUCAUCACUGUUAACGGAUGCCCGAUAUUCCACAGAGUCUCCACUCUGGGUCCUCAGUCGGUUCCUGUCGUGAGUCAGUCCAGCCAUGAGGGACCUUCUUGACACCUGCUGAGCUUCCCGCCUGAAGUCUCAGUCCCUCUGUUGAUUUGUGAGUUGAUUGAAGAAUCAACUGUGUUGGAGUUCCUGUUGUGGUUCAGCGGAAAUCAAUCUGACUAGUGUCCAUGAUGACAACGCAGGUUUGAUCCCUGGCCUUGCUCAGUGGGUUGGGGAUCCAUCGUUGCUGUGAGCUGUGGUGUAGGUGGUAGACAUGGCUUGGAUCCCAUCUUGCUGUGGCUGUGGUAUAGGCUGGCAGCUGUAGCUCUGAUUUGACCUCUAGCCUGGGAAUUUGUAUGCCAUGAGUGUGGCCCUAGAAGACAAACAAACAAACAAAAAGAAUCAGCUGUGAGUUUGAUUUUUCAGGUGAGGAGAGAGAGUGGCAGUCACAGGUCUAAAGUCCACUGUGGUUCCCAGAUCCAGGCCCCGGGCUGGGGGACGGGGGGUGGAGCUGGGAAAGGCAGCUGCUCUGCCUGGCUGCUGUGGUGACAUCUAGCAGCACUGGGUGGCAGGCUUGUCUUGCUUUUAAGGACACCAGUGUCCCCACAGUGUCCCUGCAGUGGGAGGCUCUGCUGGUGUGGGCACCGCCUCUCCUCUUCUCGUGCUCACCCCCGCCCCUGCCCCUACCCCCAUGCUCACCAGGGGAGCGCAUGACAGGGUUUCAUGUCUAGAAUAUAUUCAAAGGGGCUGGGAUUUGAUAUCAUUUAUUUGCCCCAAAGCCCCUUCCACCACAUGUGAGACCCAUGAGGCAGGGUCACACCUGAUUGUCUUCAGGUCUCCAACAUAGACCUGGAGCCAAUACUUGAGCCCCACUCCUGCAGGUGCUCUAGGAAAGGGAGUUCUAAAUGGGAGCCAUGGCGGCUUCUUGGAGAAAAGUGGGUGCCCUCCUCCGAGGGUCCAUUCAGAAGUUGUGGCAAGCCCAGCUUUGACCACAUACUGUGGGUCAGGGACCAUGAUGGCACUUCUCAAUCAUCCAGGGCGCCUAGGACACACCUCCCUCCCCACUCAGGGCUGGGAUCACUGUCUCAUGACACAGACAAGGAAACUGAGGCAGGCGUGCAUAUGCACAAGCAGGUACAGGACAGGGUGGCAGCCUUCCACCCAGCCAGGCUGCUGUUAUGGGUCCUGGUGCUUCUCCCCACAGUUUCCUAGACUUGCAUCUGGGACAAAUCCCAUGCCCUGGUCAGGGCAUUCUGAGCUGUUUCAUCUUGGUCUUUCUUCUCUGCCUCCCCAGAAGACAUCCCUUUCCGUGCCAUCCUGCAGACCCUGUACUGUUUCCUCCUGGUGCUAAUUCCUGUCACCUCCACUGGGACCCCUUGGCACCUCUGGCUGGCACAGUUGUUCUGCUUCAGUGGCCCUGAGGCUCCUGAACCCAUACUUGGUAUGGAGUGGAGAGACCCAAGCGCUCUCUAUGCCCACCUCCUGGGCACAGUGCGGGGCCCUGAGCUGCCCCAUGCCCGUGAGUUUUCUCUGCAUGCCUUUCACUCGAAGAUACUUCUGAACAGUGAGUGUCCUUCUUCCCCAGAGGAACUGCCACUUCCUCUGCUGGCCUGGCCAGAAGCUGACAGUCCACUAGCAGGGUCUGUGACCCCUAGAUUCUGUUGACACACCAUCUCUUGACAUCCAUCUAUUGACACCCCAUUUCUUGAGCCAGCCCUGCCCAAGCCCAUUCCGGCAGGACAAGAUCAUGUCAGCUGUCCAGCUCCAUAGAUCAUGUGUGGGGGGCUUGAAAAGGUUUUGGGCCAGCCCACCUGACCAGCCCUAGCCCCACAUGGUCUCUCCAAGCCCCCUCCCCACUCUGGGGGACUCAGCUUUUGCUCCAAGUCCUAUCCUGGGGUCCACCUGGGGUCCUGCCUCAGCCCUCAGUCUCCCUCUAGGGGCACCCCAGGCUCCAUGCAACAGCUGCCGCAUGCUGCCUGACCCCAGAUUUGGACCUCCCGCCUGCCCUCUAUCACCAUGGGCCUGGUCCUUCCUGGGAGCCACCCUCACCUGCAUCCAGCCAACCUCCCAUCCCCCAGGCCUGGAGUCACACAGACUUGGCCCUUUUCCGCUGUGUGACCCUGGGUAACUCCGCCUCCUCUCUUAGCUGAGACAUCACCAUGUUAAAAAGGCCCAGCAAUUCCCACUUUGCAGCGUGGAUGGGAGAAUAAGUGCAGAACCAUCCAGCUAGGACUCAUGGUCUCCUCCACCAGCGGUACCACUCUCUCAUUCAUUCACUGUUUAUUGAGCGUCUCCUGUGAGUCUGGCACUGGGUGAGCAAAGCCCAUGUCUAGUCCUUGUGCCUCUGUGCUCCUUACACUCUGGUGAGAGACAUACAGUAGCAGACACACAGCAAGUAUGGCCCUGAGGGUAAUGACUAGUACAGGGAGUAGGGAGAGGCUGGAAGGGGCUGUCUUAUGGUGGGUCUUGGAAGGUGGCAAUUGAGCAGAGACCUGCAUCCACUGAGGAACUGGUGUGCAGCUCUCUGGGGAGGAGAGAGCUGCCAUACAAAGGCCCUGAGACAAGCCAUGCCUGCUGCACUUGGGGCAGCAAGGAGGUCAGCAUGGCUGGGCAGAAAGGGCCGGGGGAGAACUGGGGAGAUGGGCUCAGCCUGGGGGGCAGGGGAUGAACUGAGAGGGGUCUUGUUUUACUUCAGGUAUGGUGGGAGCCAGUGGAAGGUGGCAGCCCUGAGGACCCAGUGCCUGUUACUGGUCUGUGCUGGAGUCAGUGACAGCUCCAUCCCCCCACCGCGAUGGCCUGGGAAGACAUGGGCCUCUGCCGGGUAGGGAGGGGAAGCCAGACAAACUCUUAAGGGUCCCAGACCCCAAGGUCCCCCAGUCUCCCUGUGGCCAGCCACACAGUGCAGGUUCCCAGCCACCGGCCACACAAGAGAGCCAGGAGGACGGCUGGUGACAGGCAUGUCUCCAACCUCAGAUUUGGAUCCUAGGGUGACUUGGCUUCAGUGAGGAAGCUGGAAAAAGAGGAGGGAAAGAGGAGGGGGAGGCGGGGGAGGAGGGAGAACAGGAGGAGGCAGGAUACACCUGUGCAUCUGCUUCACUGGAACACGAUUUCCAAUUCUACGCACCACUCACACUUGGGGAAAACUAUGUCAAAACCCUUCUGGACCCAUCAGUAUUGGAUACCCACAAGUUUUGGGAGCUGGAAGUCAAGUAGUUUUAGAG
rnacentral:lncRNA from 1 species